rnacentral:lncRNA from 1 species
GAACGCCAAUGGCUAUCACAAGUGCAGCUGACUUUUGCUUUAACCAACCUCCCCCGGAGUAAAGCGCAGCGUCUGCUGGUGUAAAAGAAUCCAUCGCAUUCUGAUUCAUUCUCUCUCUCUCUCUCUCUCAAUAAUACAUGCACAAAUAUUGUAAAGAUUUUAUUAGAUUAUCUAUGUAUAGAUUAUGAGCUGACUCGAGAGUUGUUGUCCACUGUGAUCUAGUUAUUGAUGGCUGAGAGCGGAUCGUACAAUCUAGGGUUCCGGUU